CACUCUGUAGGGGGUGUUGUGGAUCGGGGAGGUGUGGCCAAGAAAAAGUGUUAGGCCUCUGCAAUGAAAGCCCAAUGGUUAUGUUGCUGCUUUACAUUCAGAAUAGGGGAGAUGCAGUGGUAAGAAGAGUGUGUGAUGUAGCAAAAUCCGUGGGCUCAACCUUGGAGGCCUAAAGUGUGUAGGAAUUGGAAUCUUUGUGUUGUUGUUGAUUAGAGGAGUGGCUUAUAAAGUGUGCAGAGUAUGCAGGGAGAGACUUAGGCUAUUCUCUAAUUGUGGAAAGCUUCAAGGUGAAGCUUGCACAAUCGUGGAGGAUGAGAGAGCUCUGUAGUGAGCUGAGAGGAGAGAGUGAUGAAUUACAGGGAGAUAGGUGAACUAUUGACGGUGAAGUUGCAGAGUGAAAAGGUUCUCUCGAGAUUGAAGAUGGAAUGUAGAUUAUAUAGAGAUUGAUUGGAGUGUAACUGUUUUUAAGGCAAUUAGGUCAAAGUUUGUUAAAGGUUAGGGUAUGGUUUAGGGUUAGUUAGUUUUAUGAAGAAAUCAGUUAGAAGGUUAAUCUUUAUUAAUCUUGUUGUUAAUUAACAGUUAAGGUGUUAAUGAUUGUUAGUUAGCACAUUGUUAUGUGAAUUGAGCAAUUAGUCAUGUUAAUGUGAUAGUUAGAUGGUUGGAAUUCAGUAAUUAGGUUGGUUAGGAGAAGUUAGUUACUGAUGAAAGUUUGCUAGUGGACUGCUAUUGAUUUAUUUUAUGUUAGAAUUUAGUUAGUUGAUAUUAGAAAGUUGUUAAUGAAUUGUUAGUGAUUGCGUUAGCAUUUUGGAAUUAGACAUUGGUGUAUUAGCUGAAUUUGAUUAGCAAUUGGGAUGUUUAGAAUCAAUUAGAGGUAAAUGUCAAUUUGAAUUAGUCAUGAAACUGUUACUUAUGUGUUAGGGAUUGUUAGAGAUUGGAACAGUUAGAAGAAGCUUAGGUUAGACAUGUUAGUUAUGAUUAGUAAAAAGCAGUUAGAGUUUGAAUAUGUUAGCAAUGUGACAAUUAGUAGUUGGAGAUUUAGUUGAUGCUAGAAAUCAGUUAGGAUGGUUGUAUUAAACAGUAAUGUUUGUUAGGAUUUAGUUGUAUAUUUUUUUGGAUGUGGUUAGAAUAGGAGUUAGUUUGUUAAUGAACUGUUGGUUAUUGAAUUGCUAUAGAAUGUAGGUUUGUUAGCUAUAUUGAUCUGUUAGUGACCCUUUUAGUGUCAGUGAAUUUGUUUGAGUUAGCUAUGCUAGUUAAUUUAUAAUAUGUUAGAAGUUAGUGUUAUGUUGGACUGUUAGGAAAACCUGAUGAAUCAAAUGACUAUGCUGAUGAAUUGUUAGUAAGUUAGGACAAUUUGACUAGUGGUUAGCAUAUUAAUUGUUAGUGAAAUGUAGUCCAAAUUGGAAGUGUUAUGACCUAUUAGUGUGAUAGUGAAUUGUUAGGGCAAUAAUUAUUGAUUGCUUGAUUUGUGACGAACUUUCAUGGCAUUUGAACAGAUAUUAAUUGGAUAAGUUAAUUGGUUGUGAGGAAAGUUGAUCAAUUGAUUGUGUAUAUGGAUUGUUAGGGUGAUUGGACCAUUGAAGCAUGAAAUGCUAUGGAAUAUGGAAUGGUGUUAAUGUGUUUGGUAUAUUAGUGUUGUUGUAAAGUUGAAACUUAGCAAUUGAAAAAAGUUAGUUGGAAAUGUUAGGGGACUAUUAGUAGGAACUGAAAUUGGACUUGUUAGAUGUUAGGAACUGGAAGUGCGUUAAAUCAAUGAACUGGUUCUGCUACUUGAAUAGAUAUUAGUUAGUUUAAUUGGCUUGAAUGCAUUGUCUUGUGAACUAAUUUGUGGGAAAGUUGGUUAAUGGACACUAUGUUAACUUUUGUAAUUGUGUAUUGUGAACGUGUUUUGAAUUGGAUGAAAUGUCUAGGUUUGCUCAUGAGUGUAUGUUGCUGACAUGUUUGAAGUUUAUUCUUGCAGGGCUAAUGUGCACUUGGCUUUAGCACAUCAUGGCAUAUCAAGAUGGAAUUUUUGGAUAACAUCAAGGAUUAUAAAGAAGUUUUGAAGCCUUGAAUGCACAAUAAUGGUAGGACCUUGAGGAUGAAGGAAAAAUAGAGUUACGUAGUUUGACUUUGGUCAACUGUUUGACCACAAGUCAACAGUUGACCAAAGUCAACUCUAGGUCAAAUGUGUAAAAUUUUGUGUAGAAUUUGAUUUGACUCUUUUUUGUAAUGUAUUUGAUGAUUUUUUAGUGAAGAAAAUGAUCCUUGAAUGGUGUAUGUAACUUGAUUCUCAAGAAUAAAUUGUUUUCCCUCCAAGUUUGAAUUUUGAAUGUUUGAACUUGAAUCUUGAUUUUGCAUUGCUA
rnacentral:lncRNA from 1 species